rfam:Ciona savignyi cont_29950, whole genome shotgun sequence.
GCAUUGGUGGUUCAGUGGUAGAAUCCUCGCCUGCCACGCGGGGAGCCCGGGUUCGAUUCCCGGCCAAUGCA